UUGCUCCGUUUGUUUGAGUACGGGGGCUUCCCACCAGAGAGCAACUACAUCUUCCUCGGUGAUUACGUUGACCGCGGCAAGCAG
rnacentral:rRNA from 1 species